rnacentral:misc_RNA from 1 species
UUUCCGUAGGUGAACCUGCGGAAGGAUCAUUAAAGUUAUAGUCCCCCGGCCCUCUGGGCUGGUGUCUUCUAUACCACCCUUUGUUUAUUACACCUUUGUUGCUUUGGCAGUCCUGACCUCGGGCUGCUGGCUCCGGCCGGCUAGCGUCUGCCAGAGGACCUAAACUCUGUUUGUAUAUGAAGUCUGAGUACUAUAUAAUAGUUAAAACUUUCAACAACGGAUCUCUUGGUUCUG